rnacentral:rRNA from 1 species
GUGGGGAAUAUUGGACAAUGGGCGAAAGCCUGAUCCAGCAAUGCCGCGUGAGUGAUGAAGGCCUUAGGGUUGUAAAGCUCUUUUACCCGGGAUGAUAAUGACAGUACCGGGAGAAUAAGCUCCGGCUAACUCCGUGCCAGCAGCCGCGGUAAUACGGAGGGAGCUAGCGUUGUUCGGAAUUACUGGGCGUACAGCGCACGUAGGCGGCUUUGUAAGUUAGAGGUGAAAGCCUGGAGCUUAACUCCAGAACUGCCUUUAAGACUGCAUCGCUUGAAUCCAGGAGAGGUGAGUGGAAUUCCGAGUGUAGAGGUGAAAUUCGUAGAUAUUCGGAAGAACACCAGUGGCGAAGGCGGCUCACUGGACUGGUAUUGACGCUGAGGUGCGAAAGCGUGGGGAGCAAACAGGAUUAGAUACCCUUGUAGUCC